rnacentral:rRNA from 1 species
GKWGWCAUGKSCGCCCCCCSCCCGUGGRAACACGGUUUCCCCUUKGGGGSUGGUUCACAGGUGGUGCAUGGUUGUCGUCAGCUCGUGUCGUGAGAUGUUGGGUUAAGUCCCGCAACGAGCGCAACCCUCGUUCCAUGUUGCCAGCGCGUAAAGGCGGGGACUCAUGGGAGACUGCCGGGGUCAACUCGGAGGAAGGUGGGGACGACGUCAAAUCAUCAUGCCCCUUAUGUCUUGGGCUUCACGCAUGCUACAAUGGCCGGUACAAUSGGYYGCGAUACUGUGAGGUGGAGCUAAUCCCAAAAAGCCGGUYUCAGUUSGRAUUGGGGUCUGCAACUCGACCCCAUGAAGUCGGAGUCGCUAGUAAUCGCAGAUCAGCAACGCUGCGGUGAAUACGKUCCCGGGCCUUGUACACACCGCCCGUCAAGUCACGUAAUUGGUAACACCCGAAGCCGGUGGCSUAACCCCUUGUGGGGGAAA